GAGAAUGCCGGUGUGAGUAGCGAAAGACGGGUGAGAAUCCCGUCCACCGAUUGACUAAGGUUUCCAGAGGAAGGCUCGUCCGCUCUGGGUUAGUCGGGUCCUAAGCUGAGGCCGACAGGCGUAGGCGAUGGAUAACAGGUUGAUAUUCCUGUACCACCUAUAAUCGUUUUAAUCGAUGGGGGGACGCAGUAGGAUAGGCGAAGCGUGCGAUUGGAUUGCACGUCUAAGCAGUAAGGCUGAGUAUUAGGCAAAUCCGGUACUCGUUAAGGCUGAGCUGUGAUGGGGAGAAGACAUUGUGUCUUCGAGUCGUUGAUUUCACACUGCCGAGAAAAGCCUCUAGAUAGAAAAUAGGUGCCCGUACCGCAAACCGACACAGGUAGUCAAGAUGAGAAUUCUAAGGUGAGCGAGCGAACUCUCGUUAAGGAACUCGGCAAAAUGACCCCGUAACUUCGGGAGAAGGGGUGCUCUUUAGGGUUAACGCCCAGAAGAGCCGCAGUGAAUAGGCCCAAGCGACUGUUUAUCAAAAACACAGGUCUCUGCUAAACCGUAAGGUGAUGUAUAGGGGCUGACGCCUGCCCGGUGCUGGAAGGUUAAGAGGAGUGGUUAGCUUCUGCGAAGCUACGAAUCGAAGCCCCAGUAAACGGCGGCCGUAACUAUAACGGUCCUAAGGUAGCGAAAUUCCUUGUCGGGUAAGUUCCGACCCGCACGAAAGGCGUAACGAUUUGGGCACUGUCUCAACGAGAGACUCGGUGAAAUCAUAGUACCUGUGAAGAUGCAGGUUACCCGCGACAGGACGGAAAGACCCCGUGGAGCUUUACUGUAGCCUGAUAUUGAAAUUCGGCACAGCUUGUACAGGAUAGGUAGGAGCCUUUGAAACGUGAGCGCUAGCUUACGUGGAGGCGCUGGUGGGAUACUACCCUAGCUGUGUUGGCUUUCUAACCCGCACCACUUAUCGUGGUGGGAGACAGUGUCAGGCGGGCAGUUUGACUGGGGCGGUCGCCUCCUAAAAGGUAACGGAGGCGCUCAAAGGUUCCCUCAGAAUGGUUGGAAAUCAUUCAUAGAGUGUAAAGGCAUAAGGGAGCUUGACUGCGAGACCUACAAGUCGAGCAGGGUCGAAAGACGGACUUAGUGAUCCGGUGGUUCCGCAUGGAAGGGCCAUCGCUCAACGGAUAAAAGCUACCCCGGGGAUAACAGGCUUAUCUCCCCCAAGAGUUCACAUCGACGGGGAGGUUUGGCACCUCGAUGUCGGCUCAUCGCAUCCUGGGGCUGUAGUCGGUCCCAAGGGUUGGGCUGUUCGCCCAUUAAAGCGGUACGCGAGCUGGGUUCAGAACGUCGUGAGACAGUUCGGUCCCUAUCCGUCGUGGGCGUAGGAAAUUUGAGAGGAGCUGUCCUUAGUACGAGAGGACCGGGAUGGACAUACCUCUGGUGUACCAGUUGUCGUGCCAACGGCAUAGCUGGGUAGCUAUGUGUGGACGGGAUAAGUGCUGAAAGCAUCUAAGCAUGAAGCCCCCCUCAAGAUGAGAUUUCCCAACUUCGGUUAUAAGAUCCCUCAAAGAUGAUGAGGUUAAUAGGUUCGAGGUGGAAGCAUGGUGACAUGUGGAGCU
rnacentral:rRNA from 1 species